rnacentral:rRNA from 1 species
GAUGAACGCUGGCGGCGUGCCUAAUACAUGCAAGUCGAGCGAACGGACGAGAAGCUUGCUUCUCUGAUGUUAGCGGCGGACGGGUGAGUAACACGUGGAUAACCUACCUAUAAGACUGGGAUAACUUCGGGAAACCGGAGCUAAUACCGGAUAAUAUUUUGAACCGCAUGGUUCAAAAGUGAAAGACGGUCUUGCUGUCACUUAUAGAUGGAUCCGCGCUGCAUUAGGUAGUUGGUAAGGUAACGGCUUACCAAGGCAACGAUGCAUAGCCGACCUGAGAGGGUGAUCGGCCACACUGGAACUGAGACACGGUCCAGACUCCUACGGGAGGCAGCAGUAGGGACUCUUCCGCAAUGGGCGAAAGCCUGACGGAGCAACGCCGCGUGAGUGAUGAAGGUCUUCGGAUCGUAAAACUCUGUUAUUAGGGAAGAACAUAUGUGUAAGUAACUGUGCACAUCUUGACGGUACCUAAUCAGAAAGCCACGGCUAACUACGUG